GGCUCAGAUUGAACGCUGGCGGCAUGCCUUACACAUGCAAGUCGAACGGCAGCACGGACUUCGGUCUGGUGGCGAGUGGCGAACGGUGAGUAAUGCAUCGGAACGUGCCAUUGAGUGGGGAUAACGUAGCGAAAGUUGCGCUAAUACCGCAUAUUCUGUGAGCAGGAAAGCAGGGGACCGCAAGGCCUUGCGCUCUUUGAGCGGCCGAUGUCAGAUUAGCUAGUUGGUGAGGUAAAGGCUUACCAAGGCGACGAUCUGUAGCGGGUCUGAGAGGAUGAUCCGCCACACUGGAACUGAGACACGGUCCAGACUCCUACGGGAGGCAGCAGUGGGGAAUUUUGGACAAUGGGGGCAACCCUGAUCCAGCCAUGCCGCGUGAGUGAAGAAGGCCUUCGGGUUGUAAAGCUCUUUCGGCCGGGAAGAAAUCGCAUGGGCCAAUACCCUGUGUGGAUGACGGUACCGGAAUAAGAAGCACCGGCUAACUACGUG
rnacentral:rRNA from 1 species